rnacentral:rRNA from 1 species
AUAGAUAGUCGGGCUUGAUUGGGAAACAUAACAUGGGUUAUGUGCUCGUUUUGGGUAAAUAGAGUUUCUAUCAUUUAUGGUAGUUUAUUGUUCCCCGGAUAGUAUAGUUACGUAGCCAAUUGUGGAACUUUAUUGCUAAAAUUUUUAAGAAUARUAGUUGGGCAACCGAUUAGUUCUUUUAAAUUAUAACGAUUAUCAAUUAACAAUCAAUUCAGAACUGGCACGGACUUGGGGAAUCCGACUGUCUAAUUAAAACAAAGCAUUGUGAUGGCCCUAGCGGGUGUUGACACAAUGUGAUUUCUGCCCAGUGCUCUGAAUGUCAAAGUGAAGAAAUUCAAGUAAGCGCGGGUCAACGGCGGGAGUAAUUAUGACUUUUUUAAGGUAGCCAAAUGCCUCGUCAUCUAAUUAGUGACGCGCAUGAAUGGAUUAACGAGAUUCCUACUGUCCCUAUCUACUAUCUAGCGAAACCACAGCCAAGGGAACGGGCUUGGAAUAAUUAGCGGGGAAAGAAGACCCUUUUGAGCUUGACUCUAAUCUGGCAGUGUAAGGAGACAUAAGAGGUGUAGAAUAAGUGGGAGAUAUUAGGCUUCGGUUUGAUAUCGCCAAUGAAAUACCACUACUCUUAUUGUUUCCUUACUUACUUGAUUAAGUGGAACGAGUAUCAUUUCCUAGCCAUUAUACGGAUAUAUUAUUAUAUCUUAUGGUAUUGGGUUUUGAUGCAAGCUUCUUGAUCAAAGUAUCACGAGUUUGUUAUAUAAUCGCAAACAAAUUAUUUAAUGAGAGAAUGCAGUUAUGUAUUUUUGAUUUAAAUAUUUGGUAUAACUCCAAUUACUCAGGUAUGAUCCAAUUCAAGGACAUUGCCAGGUAUGGAGUUUGACUGGGGCGGUACAUCUCUCAAAUAAUAACGGAUGUGUCCCAAGGCCAGCUCAGUGCGGACAGAAACCACACAUAGGAGCAAAAGGGCAAAUGCUGACUUGAUCUCGGUGUUCAGUACACACAGGGACAGCAAAAGCUCGGCCUAUCGAUCCUUUUGGUUUAAAGAGUUUUUAACAAGAGGUGUCAUAAAAGUUACCAUAGGGAUAACUGGCUUGUGGCGGCCAAGCGUUCAUAGCGACGUCGCUUUUUGAUCCUUCGAUGUCGGCUCUUCCUAUCAUUGUGAAGCAAAAUUCACCAAGCGUUGGAUUGUUCACCCAUGCAAGGGAACGUGAGCUGGGUUUAGACCGUCGUGAGACAGGUUAGUUUUACCCUACUAAUGACAAAACGUUGUUGCGACAGCAUUCCUGCGUAGUACGAGAGGAACCGCAGGUACGGACCAAUGGCACAAUACUUGUUCGAGCGAACAGUGGUAUGACGCUACGUCCGUUGGAUUAUGCCUGAACGCCUCUAAGGUCGUAUCCGUGCUGGACUGCAAUGAUAAAUAAGGGGCAAUUUGCAUUGUAUGGCUUCUAAACCAUUAAAAGUUUAUAAUUCAUUUUAUAGGCGACAAUGGAUGUGAUGCCAAUGUUACAUAUAACAUAGUAAAUUGGGAGGAUCACCGAUCACCUGAUGCCGCGCUAGUUAUAUUUUAAAACAUUAUUUAAUACAAUGACAAAGCCUGGAAUCAAUUGUAAACGACUUUUGUAACAGGCAAGGUGUUGUAAGUGGUUGAGCAGCUGCCAUACUGCGAUCCACUGAAGCUUAUCCUUUGCUUGAUGAUUCGA